rnacentral:lncRNA from 1 species
CCAGUAGAGUUCUCCAUGCACCUGCUCCAGGUAUAGACCCCAGGACUUUUGAGGGGCAGAUGAGGAUGCGAGCUCAUAGUUUCUGAAUGACAUUAGGAACACACUGUCAAGAAAAGGAUGAUGCGUGUGCUGCAAAAUGCAGGACAAUUCACUUUCCAGGUGGGGUCUGGGGCCUGUGGCUUCUCUGUGAACUUUCUUUGUGUGCCGUGGAAUAUUUUCCAGCUGCAGCCUAUUGUCCUGUGAUUAGACUCUGGGGCUUUCUGUCCAAACUUUUUGUGUUAUGGCUGUGAGAAACAGACUUACAGAAGGAGAUGUCCGGCCCAACAUCUCUAAACUCAUGGGUGGAAACUCAGUAAGACGGCACCUAGAAUGUGGUCCAGCACAUUGAGAAUAGAGCAGAAGAUGAAAGCUGGAGAGGCUGAGGGGCCUUGGAG